rnacentral:tRNA from 1 species
GGGCCUAUAGCUCAGUUGGUUAGAGCACCUGACUCAUAAUCAGGUGGUCGCUGGUUCGAGCCCAGCUGGGCCCACGA